GACAGAGGUGCCGAGCGUUAGGCGGAAUCACUGGGCUUAAAGCGUGUGUAGGCGGGCCGUUAAGUGCCCCGUGAAAUCCCCCGGCUCAACCGUGGAACUGCCCCGGAUACGGGCGGCCUCGAGGGGGGUAGGGGCAUCUGGAACUGUGAGUGGAGCGGUGAAAUGCGUUGAUAUUCACAGGAACUCCGGUGGCGAAGGCGAAGGUGCGUGGACCCCUCCUCGACGCUGAGGCGCGAAAGCCAGGGGAGCAAACGGG
rnacentral:rRNA from 1 species